AUGGCUCAGGAUGAACGCUAGCGACAGGCUUAACACAUGCAAGUCGAGGGGCAGCACGGGAGUAGCAAUACUUGGUGGCGACCGGCGCACGGGUGAGUAACGCGUAUGCAACCUACCUAUCAGAGGGGAAUAACCCGGCGAAAGUCGGACUAAUACCGCAUAAAACAGGGGCACCGCAUGGUGAUAUUUGUUAAAGAAAUUCGCUGAUAGAUGGGCAUGCGUUCCAUUAGGUAGUUGGUGAGGUAACGGCUCACCAAGCCGACGAUGGAUAGGGGAACUGAGAGGUUGGUCCCCCACACUGGUACUGAGACACGGACCAGACUCCUACGGGAGGCAGCAGUGAGGAAUAUUGGUCAAUGGGCGGGAGCCUGAACCAGCCAAGUCGCGUGAAGGAAGAAGGAUCUAUGGUUCGUAAACUUCUUUUGCAGGGGAAUAAAGUGCAGGACGUGUCCUGUUUUGUAUGUACCCUGAGAAUAAGGAUCGGCUAACUCCGUGCCAGCCGCAGC
rnacentral:rRNA from 1 species